GGUAAAAAAGCUCGUAGUUGGAUUUCUGCUCUGAGAUGACCGGUCCACACAAUGUGUGCGCAUCUGGUUCAGCUUAGGCAUCCUCUCGACAGACGUUUCUGCGCUUGAUUGCGUGGAGCGGAUUUCGGGACUUUUACUUUGAGGAAAUUAGAGUGUUCACGGCAGGCUAUCGCCAGAAUACAUUAGCAUGGAAUAAUACUAUAGGAUCUCGGUUCUAUUUUGUUGGUUUCUAGGAUUGAGAUAAUGAUUAAUAGGGACAAUUGGGGGCAUUCGUAUCAACACGUCAGAGGUGGAAUUCUUGGAUUGUGUUGCGACGAACUACUGCGAAAGCAUUUGCCAAGGAUGUUUUCAUUGAUCAAGAACGAAAGUAAGGGGAUCGAAGACGAUUAGAUACCGUCGUAGUCUUUACCAUAAACUAUGCCAACUCGAGAUGGGGCAUCGUUCACUUACGACUUGCUCUGCACCGUAUGAGAUAUCAUUUAGUUUUUGGGUUCCGGGGGGAGUAUGAUCGCAAGAUUGAAACUUAAAGGAAUUGACGGAAGGGCACCACCAGGAGUGGAGCCUGCGGCUUAAUUUGACUCAACACGGGGAAACUCACCAGGUCCAGACAUAAUAAGGAUUGACAGAUUGAUAGCUCUUUCUUGAUUUUAUGGGUGGUGGUGCAUGGCCGUUCUUAGUUCGUGGAGUGAUUUGUCUGCUUAAUUGCGUUAA
rnacentral:rRNA from 1 species